rnacentral:rRNA from 1 species
AUGGCUGUCGUCAGCUCGUGUCGUGAGAUGUCGGGUUAAGUCCCUUAACGAGCGAAACCCUUAUCUUUAUUUGCCAGCGCGUAAUGGCGGGGACUCUAAAGAGACUGCCGGUGACAAACCGGAGGAAGGUGGGGAUGACGUCAAGUCCUCAUGGCCUUUAUGACCAGGGCUGCACACGUGCUACAAUGCGUUGUACAAAGGGAAGCUAGAUCGUGAGAUGGAGCUAACCCCAAAAAGCAGCUCUCAGUUCGGAUUGCAGGCUGAAAUUCGACUGCAUGAAGCUGGAAUCGCUAGUAAUCGUAGGUCAGAAUGCUACGGUGAAUGCGUUCCUGAGCCUUGUACACACCGCCCGUGGGGCGGGGGCGGCGGGCCGGGCGCGGGGCGCGGCGGGCG